rnacentral:rRNA from 1 species
GGGAUAACACUUAGAAAUAGGUGCUAAUACCGCAUAAGCGCACGGUUCCGCAUGGAACAGUGUGAAAAACUCCGGUGGUAUACGAUGGAUCCGCGUCUGAUUAGCCAGUUGGCGGGGUAACGGCCCACCAAAGCGACGAUCAGUAGCCGGCCUGAGAGGGUGAACGGCCACAUUGGGACUGAGACACGGCCCAAACUCCUACGGGAGGCAGCAGUGGGGAAUAUUGCACAAUGGGGGAAACCCUGAUGCAGCGACGCCGCGUGAGUGAAGAAGUAUCUCGGUACGUAAAGCUCUAUCAGCAGGGAAGAAAAUGACGGUACCUGAUUAAGAAGCCCCGGCUAACUACGUGCCAGCAGCCGCGGUAAUACGUAGGGGGCAAGCGUUAUCCGGAUUUACUGGGUGUAAAGGGAGCGUAGACGGCAGCGCAAGUCUGGAGUGAAAUGCCGGGGCCCAACCCCGGAACUGCUUUGGAAACUGUGCAGCUCGAGUGCAGGAGAGGUAAGCGGAAUUCCUAGUGUAGCGGUGAAAUGCGUAGAUAUUAGGAGGAACACCAGUGGCGAAGGCGGCUUACUGGACUGUAACUGACGUUGAGGCUCGAAAGCGUGGGGAGCAAACAGGAUUAGAUACCCUGGUAGUCCACGCCGUAAACGAUGAUUACUAGGUGUCGGGGGGCCAAGGCCCUCCGGUGCCGGCG